GACGAACGCUGGCGGCGUGCUUAACACAUGCAAGUCGAGCGGUAAGGCCCUUUCGGGGGUACACGAGCGGCGAACGGGUGAGUAACACGUGGGUGACCUGCCCUCAGCUCUGGGAUAAGCCUGGGAAACUGGGGUCUAAUACUGGAUAUGACUCCACGGUGCAUGUCGUGGGGUGGAAAGCCUUGCGCGGCUGAGGAUGGGCCCGCGGCCUAUCAGCUUGUUGGUGGGGUGANGGCCUACCAAGGCGACGACGGGUAGCCGGCCUGAGAGGGCGACCGGCCACACUGGGACUGAGACACGGCCCAGACUCCUACGGGAGGCAGCAGUGGGGAAUCUUGCGCAAUGGGCGAAAGCGUGACGCAGCAACGCCGCGUGGGGAAGAAGGCC
rnacentral:rRNA from 1 species